GGGCGCUUAGCUCAGUUGGCUAGAGCGCGUUCCUGAUAAGAACGAGGUCCUAGGUUCGAUUCCUAGAGCGCCCA
rnacentral:tRNA from 1 species